rnacentral:lncRNA from 1 species
AGCAAAACAAGAACCCUAAUAACACUAUCAAUCUUCACAUUUCUUGAUAACAAUAUACAUAAUUUAGCAAAACAAGAACACUAAUAACACUAUCAAUCCUCUCAUUUCUUGAUAACAAUAUACGAAAUUCAGCAAAACAAGAACCCUAAUAACACUAUCAAUCUUCUCAUUUCUUAAUAACAAUAUACAAAAUUCAGCAAAACAAGAAUAUUAAUAACAUUAUCAAUCUUCUCAUUUCUUGAUAACAAUAUACAAAAUUUAGCGAAACAAGAACACUAAUAACAUUAUCAAUCUUCUCAUUUCUUGGUAACAAUAUACAAAAUUUAGCAAAACAAGAACACUAAUAACACUGUCAAUCUUCACAUUUCCUGAUAACAAUAUACAACAUUUAGCAAAACAAGAACACUAAUAACACUAUCGAUCUUCUCAUUUCUUGAUAACAAUAUACAAAAUUUAGCAAAGCAAGAACACUAAUAACACUAUCAAUCUUCUCAUUUCUUGAUAACAAAAUAGAAAAUUUAGCAAAACAAGAACACUANUAAUAACACUAUCAAUCCUCUCAUUUCUUGAUAACAAUAUACAAAAUUUAGCAAAACAAGAACAUUAAUAACAUUAUCAAUCUUCUCAUUUCUUGAUAACAAUAUACAAAAGUUAGCGAAACAAGGAGACUAAUAACACUAUCAAUCAUCUCAUUUCUUAAUAAUAAUAUACAAAAUUUAGCAAAACAAGACCCCUAAUAACACUAUCAAUCUUCUCAUUUCUUGAUAACAAUAUACAAAAUUAAGCAAAACAAGAACACUAAUUACACUAUCAAUCUUAUCAUUUCUUGAUAACAACACACAAAAUUUAGCAAAACAAGAACACUAAUAACACUAUCAAUCUUCAUAUUUCUUGAUAACAAUAUACAAAAUUUAGCAAACCAAGAACACUAAUAACACUAUCAAUCCUCUCAUUUCUUGAUAACAAUAUACAAUAUUCAGCAAAACAAGAACCCUAAUAACACUAUCAAUCUUCUCAUUUCUUGAUAACAAUUUACAAAAUUCAGCAAAACAAGAACACUAAUAACACUAUCAAUCCUCUCAUUUCUUGAUAACAAUAUACAAAAUUUAGCAAAACAAGAACAUUAAUAACAUUAUCAAUCUUCUCAUUUCUUGAUAACACUUCUCUCUAGUAACAAUUACAAAUUUAGCAAAGAACACUUAAUAACUUAUCAAUCUUACUUCUGAUAACAUCACUAUUUAGCAAAACACACUUACAAUCAAUCUUCUAAUUUCUGAUACACAUACAAAAUUAGCCCAAAACAAAGACAUAUACACUAUCAUCUUCAUUUUUGGUACAAUAUACGUAUUAGCACAGAAAUAAUACCAUCUCCAUCCUUCUUUUUAGAUACAAUAAUACAAAAUUAACAAAGAACACUAUAACCUUCAUCCUGAUUCUAUAACAUAUACAAUAGAAACAAAAGUACGACUAAUUAACACUAUCAUUUCUCAUUUCUUGAAACAAUUACAAAUUUAGCCAACAAAGAACACUAAUAAACCUAUCAUCUUCAUUCUGAUACAAUAUACAAUUUAGGGAAACAAAGACGCUAGUCAUUGCUUACUCAUCUGAUACAAUAUACAAAUUGCAAAACAAACACUAAUAACUAUCAUCUUACAUUUCAUUGAUAACAUAUACUCAAAUCAGCAAACAAAGACACUACACACUAUCAAUCUUCUCAUUCAUUCGAACAUAUACCAAAUUCAGCAAACAGACAACUAAUAACACUAUCAUUCCUCAUAUUGAACAAGAACAAAUAGCAAACAAAAAGAAGAUUAAACAUUAUCCAUUUUCUCUUCUGAUACAAUACAAAAUUUAGACCAAAACAAGAACACUAUACCUAUUCAUCUUCUCAUUUUAAUCAAAAAAUAGAAUUAGCAAAACACACUAAACCUAUCAAUCAUCUCAUUUUGAUAACAAAUACAAAAUUGCAACAAACACAUAACCUACUCAUCUAUUCAUUUUGGAUCACAAUAUACAAAUUAGCAAACCAGGGGAGCACUAAUAAUUAUCAAUCCUCUAUUCUGUAAACAACUAUUUAGCAAACGCUAGACUAUCAUCUUUCAUUUCUAUAACUAUAAUUUAGCAAAACAAGAACCUAUCCCACUGUCAAUCCUCUCAUUUUUGUACAAAUAUCAAAAUUCGCAACCAGAACACUAAUACCAUCAUCUUCAUUUCUUGACACAACAAUUUAGCAACAGAACUAAUAAUAACGAUUAUCAAUUAUCUAUUCUGAUAACAAUACAAAUUAAGCGAACAAGAAAUAUACACUAUAAUUUCUCAUUCUUAUAACAUUACAAUUAGACAGACCUAAUAACACUACAUCUUUCAUUUCUUGUAACAUUACAAAUUUGCAAACAACACUAUAACAUCAAGUUCUCUUCUGAUGACAAUAUACAAAGUUUGCAAAGCGGGAGGAACUCCAACUGUGGCAGGUGUUCAUUUUUGGGGAGGUACAAAUAGUAGACAUUUGAGGCAACUGGAUAAUCAGGUAUCAUCUUUUCUGUAACAUAUACAAAUUUUAGCACAAGACGGGGACUUAACAUUCGCUUCAUUGUGGCGGGAACAAUAGGUAGGUUAGCAAACAUCGCUAAUGCACUAUCAAUUCCGUGGGUGUCUUGAUAAAUGGGUCAAUUAGCACGAAACACUAUCAUAUCAGAUCUUCAAUUGGUGAACAUGUAAUAAGGGUAGCAAACGAAGACUACACUUCAUCCUCUUUUUCUUGGAUCUGGCGUGGAUUGACAAGGUGUGAAGACAAAUACACUAUCAGGUUUCGUGGGGUUCUUGUAAAUUACAAAAUUGGUUGCGAACGAGGAACAUAACACUAUCAAUUUUCAUUUUGAUACUGAUAAAUUUAAGCCAGACAUAUCACUAUCUUCUAUUUGUCAAUAAAUUUAGAACGCUCAUUUUCAUUUCUUAGAUACAUUACAAUUAGCAAACAGAAAUUAAUCUUCAAUUCUUGUACAAUAUCAAAUCAGCAGACAAAUACCUUUUUUCUCUUCUUAUAUCAAAUUCGCACAAGACACUAUACCUAGCAUCCUAUUUCUUGUAAAAAUAUACAAAUUUAGCAAACAAGAACAUUAAUACAUUAUCAUCUUCAUUUCUUGAACAUAUACAAUUUAGUACAAACAGAACCAUAACCUAUCAAUCUUCUCAUUCUUAAUAACAUGAUUUGCUUUAACUAGACCUAAACUCAUCAUCUGCUUUGAUAAAGACAAAUUAGCAAACAGGACCUAUACUAGAUUUCUCAUUCUGUAAAUAUACAAUUUAGCAACGAAGAACCUAAAUAACAUUAUCUCUCUAUUUAUUUAACUAUACAUAUUAGCAAACAGCACUUCUCUUCUGAUUUUUAACAUUACAAAUGUGCAAACAAGACACUAAUACUUCAUCUUAUUUUUAGUAAGAUACAAUUCGCACAAGAACAUGGAAUCAUCAUCAUCUUCAUUUCUUGACUUACAAUUAGCCAAACAGGAAAUUAAUAACUUAUCAAUCUUCUCAUUUCUUGUAACAAUAUACAAAUUUAGCCGAACAGCAUAUAACGCUAUUCACUUUAUUUUUAACAUACAAAUUAGACAAGAACCUAAUAACACUUCAUUAUUCAUUGUCUUUAACAAUAUAAAAUUAGCAACAGAACACUAAACAUAUCAUCCUCUUUUGCUUGAACAAUAAUCAUAAUUUGCACAGAACAUACUUUCUCUUUCUUAUACUUCAAAUUAGCAAACAAACCUUACCUUCAUCCUUAUUUUGAUAACAAUAUACAAUUCGCAACAAACCUAACCUAUCAUCCUAUCAUUUAUUGCACAUAUACAUUUAGCAAACAGCUUAAUACUUAUCAAUCUUCUCAUUGCACAUAUACAAAUUAGCCGACAGAAUUAACCUAUCAUUUCAUUUCUUUACACAUCUACAGAUUUUAAGCACAAGACCUAAUACCAUAUCUCUUUUUCUUGUAACAUAUACAUCAACAGACCAUAAAUCAUUCUAUUUCUGAUCAUAUACUUGCAGGAAACAUAACACUGUCAUUUCUCUUUCUUAUAACAAAUGAAAUGGUUAGCACAAGAAUAAUAAGAUCAAUCUUCUAUUCUGUAAAAUCAAUUUAGCAAACAGCACUUAAUAUCAUCCUCUCUUCUUGUACAUCAUAAUUUAGCCACUACUAUAACAUACAUUUUCAUUUCUUGUACACUCAUUAGCAAACAGAACUAUCACUUCCAUUAUUUCUUGAACAUUUAAUGCAAACGAAGAUUAACCUCUCUCCUCUUUUCUGUAACAAUAUACAAAUUUACAAGAAACAUAAUAACUUCAAAUCUUCUGAUUUCUUGAUAAUAUACAAAUUUAGACAAAACAGACAUAUCGACUAUAUCUUAUUUCUUGAAACAUUAUACAAUUAGGCAACAGCCUAUACCUAUCAUCUUCUAUUUUUGUAAUUAAUUAGGAAAAAACAUAUCAUCUUUCAUUCUUGUACAAUAUAAAAUUAGCAAACAAAGCACAAUAAACCUCUAUUCAAUUCUUGUAACAUUACAAAUUCAGCAAACGAACAUAAUACAUAUCAUUGGCUCUUCUUGAUAACAAUAUACGAAUUCAGCAAACAGAACACUAAUAACAUUCAUCGUCCUCUCUUUCUUUGUAACAUUACAAUUAGCAAACAGACAUUAACAUUAUCAUUCUCAUUUACUGUAACAAUAUACAUUUGCAAACAGACCUAUCAUAUCUCUUCUCAUUUUUAAAUACAAAAUAGAAAAUUAGCAACAAGAUAAUAACACUAUCAAUAUCUCAUUUCUGUACAAGUACAAAAUUUAGCAACAAGACAUAUACACUAUCAAAUCUUCUUUUUCUGAUAACAUAUACGACUUAGCAACAAGAACACUAUUAUCACCUCUAUUCUGAUACUUACUUUGCAAAACAGAACCUCAAUUCUUUCUUUAUAACUGAAAAUAUUGCAAACAAAGAACAUAUACAUUCAUCUCUAUUCUGUACAUAUACAAAUUAGCAAACAGACACUAACACUUCAAUCUUCUUUUGAACAAUUCAAAAUUUGCAAAACAGCUUCUAAUUAUCAAAAUUUUCUUCUGAUAACAAUAUACAAAAUUCUAGGACGCAUAUCCUUCAUUUUCUUUACAUAUACAAAAUUUAGCAACAGAACUUACCUAUCUUUUAUUUCUUGUAAAGAAAAAUUAGCACAAACUAAUAACGCAAUCCAUUUUCUCAUUUCUGAAACAAUUACAAAUUUAGCCAAAGCAGAACUAUACUUCAAUCUUCUCUUUCUUAAUAAGCAAAUAGAAAUUGACAAGAACACUAUACUACAUCUUCCUUUCUUGAUACAUAUCAAAUUUAGUCGCAAACAAGCUAAUACUUAUCAAUCCUUCUUUCUUGAUCAAUCUAUAAAAUGUUUUUUAGGGGCAAAAACUACACUAUAACACUAUCCUUUCAUUCUUGAUAACAACAUACAAAUUUGAACAGAAACCUUAACCAUCUUCUUCAUUUCGAUCUUAAUAAUUUUCAACAAAACAAUAAUACACUUCAAUCCUCUCAUUUCUGAUAACAUAUACAAAUAACAAAGCAAGACACUAAUACACUUCAAUCUUCUGAUUUCUUGUAACAUAGUACAAAAUUUAGCAACAGACAUUAACACUAUCAAUAUUUUCUGUACAAUAUACAAUAAAUUAGCACAAGACAUAUAACACUAUCCAAUUUCUAUUCUGUACAAUAUACAAAUUUAGGGGAAACAAGAACACUACAAUCUUCUCAUCAUCUAACAAUAUACUAUAGCAAAACAGACCAUAAAAACUAUUCAAUCCUUCCACAUUGUUUGAUACAAUAUACAAAAUUCAGCAACAAACAUAUAACACUAUCAAUUUCUAUUCUGAAACAUAUCAAAUCAGAAAACCAGAACCACUAAAUCACAUAUCAUCUCUUCUUUCCUUGGAUACAAUAUACAAAAAUUGUAGCAACCAAGAAAGAAAACAUUAUGCUGAGGAGGUCUCUAUUGUGUCGGUGGGAGUGGACAUUACGAAAAUGGGUGGGCAAACAAGAACACUUGUAGGAUAACGCGUGUAUCAAAUCUUUCAUUUCUAGUGGAGGACAAUAAAAAUUAGGCAAGACGGGGCAGGACGGGGAGGGCGUAAUGGUGGCACUAUCAAUCGUGGGGGAUCUCAUUCUGUGGUAUGUGGGACAAAUACAAAUUUAGCAAAAACGAAGACGGGACGUAAUAACACAUCAAUGGUGUGGUAUUCUCGAGGUGGAGAAAUUUACAAAGUUGAGCAAACGGAGACACUAUACAUACAGGUUGUGUCUCUUCAUCUUGAUAACAUAUACUAUUUAGCAAAACAAGAACACUUCAAUCUUCUCAUAUUCUAAUAACAACUGUAUAACAAAUUUAAGCAAACAAUGAACACUAUAACAACUUAUCAAUCCUCUCGAUUUCUUGAUACACAAUAUACAAAAUUCAGCAGAAACAGAACAUAAUCAACACUAUCAUCCUCUCAUUUCUUGACAACAAAACAAUUUAGCAAAACAAGAACAUGUACUAACACUUAUCAAUCUUCUUCAAUUUCUUGAGAUACAAUAUACAAAAUUUAGCGAACAAGAAGAACACUUAAUUAACACGAUGCAAUUUUCAUUUCUUAAUACAACUAUACAAAAUUUAGCAACCAAGAACACUAAUACAACUAUCAUAUCUUCUCAUUUCUUGCAUACAAUAUACAAAUCUAGCACAAACGAGAACACUAAUAACACAAUCAAUUUUCUCAUUCUUGAUAAAAUAUACAAAAAUUUUAGCAAAGCAAGAACACUAAUAACACGUAUCCAAUCACUUCUCAUUUCUUAAUAACAAUAGAAAAUUUUAGCAAACAAGAACAACUUAUAACACUAGUCAAUGCUCUCAUUCGUUUGCAAACAAUUAUACAAAUUAUAGCCCACAAGACAAUAAUACAAUUAUCAUCCUCUCAUUUCCGAGCGGGGACACUACAUAAUUUAGCAAAAACAAUAACCUAAUAACACUAUCAGAUCUUCUCAUUCUUGAUAACAACAUACAAAUUUAGCAAACAAGAACAUAAUAACCUAUACGCUUCACAUUUCUUAGAUAACAAUAUCAUAAUUUAGCAAAAACUAAGACAAUAAGAACACUCUCAAUCCUCUCUUUUCUGAUAAACAAUAAUACAAAUUUAACAAAAGAGAACACUAAAUAACACUAUCAAUCUUGCUGAUUUCUUGAUAAACAAUAUACAAAUCUUGGCCCCACAACAAGAAAACACUAAUAACACAUCAAUCUUCUCAUUUAUGAUAGAUAAAUAAACAGAAAUAAAUACAUGACCCAUCUCUAUAUCAAAAACAAAGAUAGCAAAACGCAUUUCAAUUCACAUAAAAUAGAAACACAAUCACUCAUUCUUAACAUAUACAAAAUUUAAAAACCUAAUACUAUCAAUUCUUCUUGAUAACAUAUACAAAAUUUAGCAAAACAAGAACACUAAUAACUAAUCAAUCUUCACAUUUCUUGAUAACAAAACAAAAUUCUAGCAAACAGACAACCUAAUAACACUGAUCAAUCUUCUCAUUUCUUGAUCAACAAUAUACAAAUUAGCAAAACUAAGAACACUAAAUAACACUAUAAUCUUCUCAUUCUUAUAACUAAUACAAAAUUUAGCAAACAGAUUCCUAAUACACUAUCAUCUUCUCAUUUCUUGAUAACAUAUACAAAAUUUAGCAAACAAGACACUAAUACACUACAAUCUUCUCAUUUUCUGAUAACGAAUUAUCAAAUUUAGCAAAACAGAACACUAAUAACACGUAUCACUUCUCAUUUCUUGAUAACAAAUAAGAAAUUUCAAACAAGCACUAAUACACUAUCAUCUUCUCAUUUCUUGAUAACAAAUACAAAAUUAGCAAAACAAGAACACUACCAUAACACUAUCAAAUCCUCUCAUUUCUUGAUAACAAUAACGAUAAAUUUAGCCAAAACAAGAUACACUAUACUCAAUCAUCUCUCAUUGUCUUGAUAAGCAAUAUACAAAAUGUUGAGCAAAACAAAAAACAAUAAUAACACUAUCAAUCGCUCUCAUUUCUGACAACAAUAUACACAAUUCUAUGCACACAGAACCCUAAAACACUUAUCAUUUCUCAUUUUCUUGAUAACAAUAACAAAAUUCUAGCAAAAGAACACUAAUACACUAUAAGCAAUCUCUCAUUCCUUGAUAACAAUAUACCAAAAUUUACACAACAAAGAACAUCUAAUAAACAUAUCAUCUUCUCAUUUCUGAAACAAUAUAACACAAAUUUAGGAAACAAGCCGAACAACUAAUAAUACUAUCAAUCAUCUUUCUUUACUUCAACAUAUACAAAUAUUAGCAAAACAAGCACACAAUAACACUAUCGAUCUUCCUCAUUUCUUUGAUAACCAAUAUACAAAUUAGCUAAACAAGAACACUAAUAACACUUAUCAAUCGUCUUCAUUUCUUAGUAAACAUAUACAAAUUUAGUCAAUAACAAAAACUAAUAACACUAUCAAUUCUCUCAUUCUAAUAACAAUAAUACAAAAUUUAGCAAACAAGAACCUAAUACACUAUCAAUCUUCACAUUCUGUGGAUAACAAUAUACAAAAUUUAGCGAAACAAAGAACCACUAAUAACACAAUCAAUUUUCUCAUUUUGAUAACAAUAUCAAAGUUUAGCAAGCAAGAACACUAAAUACACUAUCAAUCUUCUGAUAUUCUGAUAACAUAUACACAAUUUAGCCAAACGAAGAAACAUUAUAACACUAUCAAUCUAUUCAUUCUUAAUACAUAUACAAAUAUUAGCAAACAAGAACACUAAUAACACUUCAAUCUUCUCAGUUUCUUCGUAACAUAUACAAAAUUUUAGGCAAAACAGAACGAUAAUAACCUCUCAAUCUUUCUAUUUCUUGUAACAAUAUACAAAAUUUAGGAAAACAAGAACACUAUCAAUCUUCUCAUUUCUUUAUAACAAAUAUACAAAUUUAGCAAACUCAAGCACUAAUUUAACUAUCAAUCUUCACGAUUUCUUGUAUAUAUACCAAAAUUCAGCAAAACAAGAACCCUAAUAACACUAUCAUCUUCUCCUUGAUAACAAUAUACAUAAUUUAGCAAAACAAGAACACUAAUACACUAUCAAUCCCUCUUCAUUUAUUUGAUACAAUGUACAGAAAUUUGAAUCAACAAGACAUUAAUAACACUAUCAUCUAUCUCAUUUCUUGAUAACAUAUACAAAAUCUAGAAAACAGAAGCACCUAAUACACUAUCAAUCUCUCAUUCGUGAUAACAAUAUUACAAAAUUCAGCAAAGCAAGAACACUAAUACACUAUCAAUCUCUCAUUUCUGAUAACAACAUACAAAAUUUAGCAAAACAGAACAUCUAAUAACAUUAUCAAUCUUCUCAUUCUUCUGAUAACAAUAUACCAAAAUUUAACAACAGAACACUAAUAACACUUAUCAAUUCUUCUCAUUUCUUGCAUACAAUAUACAAUAAUUGUAGCAGAAUACUUAAAAACACUAUCAACUUCUUCUUGCAUAAAAUUGCAAAAAGAAUAUAACCUUUAUUUCAUCUCUAACAUAUACAAAAUUUUUUAGCAAAACAAGAACACUAAUAACAUAUCAUCCUCUCGAUUUCUUGACUAAAAUUAUACAAAAAUUUCAAGCAAACAAGACAUAAUAACACUAUCAUCCUUCUCAUUUCUUGAAACAAUAUAACAAAUUUCAGCACCAAACAAAGAACAUAAUAACAUCUUCAAUCUCUCAUUUUUUGAAUACAAUAUACAAAAUUCUAGCGAAACAAGAACCUAAUAACACUAUCGAUUUUCCUGGCAUUUCUUGAAUAACAAUAUACAAAUUAGCAAAACAAGACCAUUAAUAACAUAUCAAUCUUCUCAUUGUCUUGAUACAAUAUACAAAAUUUGCGAAACAAGGACACUAAUAACACUACAAUCAUCUUUCUCAUUUAUCUUAUAACAAUUUAUACAAAAUUUAGCAAAACCAAGACCCUAAUAACCGAUCAAUCUUCUCAUUCCUUGAUAACAAUACAAAUUCAGCAACAAGAACCUGAAUACACUACUUCAUCUUCUCAUUUCUGAUCAACAAUAUACAAAUUUAGCAAAACAAGAGACACUAAUACACAUUCUAUCACUUUCAACUCUCAUUGCAUGACCUUUGGCUAACAAAAAGGAUACCCAAAUUUAGCAAACAACAAUACAAUAAUCACCAUUAUCCAACAUCUUCUCAUUUCUUGAUAACANACUAUCAAUCUUCUCAUUUCUUGAUAUAUACAAAAAUGUUAGCGGAAAACAAGAACACUAAUAACACUAUCAUCAUCUUCUCAUUUCUUACAUACAUAUAAUACAAAAUUUAGCAAAACAAGACACCUAAUAACACAUCAAUCUCUCAUAUUCUUGAUAACAUAUACAAAAUUAGCAAAACAAGAACCCUAAUAACACUAUCAAUCUUCUCAUUUCUUGAUAACAAUAUACAAAAUUCAGCAAAACAAGAGACACUAAUACAUUCACUCAAUCUCUCAUUUCUUGAUAUACAAGAUAUACACAAAUUUAGACAAAACAGCAAAUCAAAUUAAUCACAUUAUCACAUCUUCUCAUUUCUUGAUAUACAAAUUAUAAAUUACCUUCAAUUUCUCUUAUUUGUUCUUCCCUCUACCGCCUCCGGAUUGAUACUACUAGGUUUUUUACUAGCUUUGAAAGGAGAUCGGAAUAUUGCUCUAUUGGCAGUCGGAAAAAAUUUUUUUAUAAGCCAUCCUUCCUAUUUCCUUCAUGUCCAGAAUGAAUAAAUAUACAAGAAUGUUAGCAAAACUAGGAAAAAAAAAAGAACGACUAGAUUUUAACCUACUUUCUGUUUAAUCUUUUCUCAUCUUAUAACUAAUUUAAUAUAUAUAAAUUUAGAAUCGUGUGUUAGAGAAAAAAAAAAGAAAAAAAAAAGAUAUACUAAUUUAUACACUAUUUCUAUUUCAUUUCUUCAUGAUUUCUUGAUAAGAAAAAUACUCUAAAAUUUAGCAUUAAACUUAAGAAACACAACUAUAUAAUAUCUUAUUUCUUCACAUUUUCCUUUCGUUAACAAUUAGUGAAAAUAAUUUCUAAGGAAAAUAAGUGUAAAAGAGACGAAAAACGAAAAAAAAAAAAAAAAAGAGGAACGAGAAGAAACAUAAGAAGAAUAAAAACAACGAUAAAAAACUCUGAGGAUUUUCCUCUUUAAUAAGCUUCAGUUUGCGGUGUUAUGGAUACUAACCAUACAUAAUAAACGGUUUCACGCAAAUUAUCCGAUUUUUAUCAUCAGAGCAGAAACAUCAACGAGAACGCGAGCUAUGUUUUUGAAGAGAACACUUGGAAGUCUCUCUUGAUAACUGUGGUCGCUAUAAUAUAGUGAUAGGCGUUAUGUCUUAGGGACACGCUUGAGAGCAUCUAUGGUAUCAACUCGAAUCAAAGGAGUGAGAGAUAGUAAAUCAAGGAUUCAUAAAUCUACAAUAACACUUAUGUGUUUUGUCUUGUCGAAAACUAGAGGAUUGGAUCAUUUUCUUCUCGGUGGUCUUUAUACAAAUCAAUAGUCAACUUUAGAUUAAUAAAUAUCUUACCAUUAUUUCCUUCAGCUUAUUAGAAUUUGGUGGUGUGGACGUUACUCCUUAAGCUACAGAUAGGGAAUCGAAAUUGAAUAAAACAGGGGAGGUGGGGUAGCAGAAUUUAGGGCAUUAAAGCGGAAGGGAAGGUGGACGAGGACUGAGGCUGGGGAGAUAGACACGGGUGGAAUGCGAGAGGUCCUCUCAUGAUGUGCGGAGUUGAUAACAAAAGUGGAUACAGAGAGCAAGGUUCGGUAACCGACCUAAACAAAUCUUUGUUGAUUGUUCUCUCUUUUCAUAUAAUCUGGCUAAGUUUGCAUAAAUUGAAGUCUGAUAGUUUGGUGAAUUAAUAGUAAAACUUUUAAUCACUACCACUUACAUUGUGUGCAAUUUAAAGAUUGUAAUCAGAACAUAUUAAAUUGGUAUGCAAGCAUUCACUUUCGAUUGCAGAAUCCUAUAAGGAAAAAUUCAUGGCACUCAGUUAAUUGAUGAAUAGAAUAAAAUUGAGAACUUAGGGUUGGAGUGCACACAAGUGAUUAUUCAUAUAAAUGGAUUAUUCAGCUUAAGAGUCGAUUAAUGAUAACAAACAUAAAUAACAACCUCUUCACCCACUAAUCAAUAGCUCUUCUGUUCUCAAUUAUUUCACUUAUUCUCUUAUGUGUCUAUCCAUUAGCAUGAGGACACAUACUCCAAAGGAUUGUUGUAAAUUAAUUGAUAUGCAUUUAAUUUUUAAAAUAGUUCGUUAGAUUAUAUCUCUUUUAGAUCAGUCUCCCAUUAUGGUUUACACAGCAAUCUCCGAUCUUUCUACUAACGGAACGUUUUAAGAAACAAGAACACUAAUAAAACUAUCAAUCUUCUCAAUUCUUAAUAACAAUAUACAAAAUUUAGCAAAACAAGAACACUAAUAACACUAUCAAUCUUCUCAUUUCUUGAUAACAAUAUACAAAAUUUAACAAAACAAGAACACUAAUAACACUGUCAAUCUUCUCAUUUCUUGAUAACAAUAUACAAAAUUUAGCAAAACAAGAACACUAUCAAUCUUCUCAUUUUUUGAUAACAAUAAAGAAAAUUUAGCAAAACAAGAACACUAAUAACACUAUCCAUCCUUUCAUUUCUUGAUAACAAUAUACAAAAUUCAGCAAAACAAGAACCCUAAUAACACUAUCAAUCUUCUCAUUUCUUGAUAACAAUAUACAAAAUUCAGCAAAACAAGAACACUAAUAACAGUAUCAAUCCUCUCAUUUCUUGAUUACAAUAUACAAAAUUUAGCAAAACAAGAACAUUAAUAACAUUAUCAAUCUUCUCAUUUCUUGAUAACAAUAUACAAAAUUUAGCGAAACAAGAACACUACUAACACUAAAUCAAUCUUCUCAUUUCUUUUAAUAAACAAUAUACAAAAUUUAGCAAAACAAGAACACUAAUAACAUCUAAUCAAAUCUUCUCAAUUUCUGAUGUAACAAUAUACAAAAUUUAGCAAACCAAGAACAUAAUAACACUAUCAAUCUCUCAUCAUUUCUUGAUAAACAAUAUACAAAUUUUAUGCAAAACAAGAAACACUAAUAAACACUAUCAAUCUUUCCAUUUCUUGAUAACAAUAUACAAAAUUUAGCGAAACAAGAACAAUAAUAACACUACACAAUCUUUAUUCUGAAUAAACAAUAUACAAAAUUUAGCAAAACAAGAACCAUCUAAUAAGCAUUCUAUCAAAUCUUCUCAUUUCUUGAUAACAAUAUACAAAAUUUAGCAAACUAGAUACACUAAUACACUAUCAAUCUUUCUCAUUUCUUUGAUAACAAUAUAUCUACUAAAUAUUAGCAAAAACAAGAACACUAAUAACAAAUGUAUCAAUCCUCUCAUUUCUUAAUAACAAUCUAAAUAAAAUUUAGCAAACAAGACAAUAACACUUCAAUCCUCUCAUUCUGAUAACAAACAUAUAACAAACAAACACUAAUCACUAUCAAUCUUCUGCAUUUCUUGAUGAACAUAUACAAAAUUUUAGCAAAACAAGACACUAAUAACACAUAUCAAUCUUCUCAUUUUUGAUAACAAUAUACAAAUUAAAAAAAACCAAGAACACUAAUAACACUAUCAAUCUUCUCAUUUCUUAUAACAAUGAUACUAAAAUUUAGCAAAACAAGAACACUAAUAACACAUAUCAAUCUUCUGACUUUCUUGAUAACAAUAUAAAAAAAUUUAGCAGAAACAGAACACUAAUAAACUAUCAAUCUUCUCAUUUUCCUUAAUAACAAUAUACAAAUUUAAAAACAAGAACACUAAAUAACACUAUCAAUCUUCAUUUCUUGAUAAACAAUAUCAAAAUUAGCAAAACAACAUUAAUAACACUAGUCAUCUCUCAUUUCUUGAUACAAUAUACAAAUUUAGAAAAACAAGAACACUAUACACUAUCAUCUUCUCAAAUUUUCUUGAUAACAAUAUACAGAAAUUUAGCCAAUAACAAGAACACUAAUAACACUAUCAUCUCUCAUUUCUUGAUACAAUAUAUCAAAAUUCGCAAUACAAAGAAACUAUAACACUAUCAACUUCUCAUUCUUGAUAACAAUAUACAAAUUAGGCAAACACAAAACACUAAUAACACCUAUCAAUCUCUCAUUUCUUGAUAACAUAUACAAAAUUUAGCAAAACAAGAACAUAUAACAUUAUCCAUCUUCUCAUUUCUUGAUAACAAUAUACAAAUUUACGAAACAAGAACACUAAUAACACUAUCAAUCUUCCUCAUUUUUGAAUCAACAAUAUACAAAAUUUAGCAAAACAAGAAACUAAUAACACUAUCAAUCUUUCUCAUUUCUUGAUAAAAUAUACAAUUUAGCAAAAACAGAAGCACUAAUAACACUAUCAAUUGUCCUCAUUUUCUUUGAUAACAAAUACAAAAUUUAGCAAAAACAAGAACACUAUAACACUAUCAAUCUUCCAUUUCUUGAUAACAAAUACAAAUUUAGCAAAACAAGAACAAUAAUAACACUUCAAUCUUCUUUCCUUGAUAACAAUAUACAAAAUCUAGCAAAAAAGAACACUAAUAACACUAUCAAUCUUCUGUUCUUUUGAUAACAAUAUACAAAUUUGCAAAACAGAGAACACUAAUAACACUUCAUCUUCUCAUUUUUCAUAACAAUAUACAAAUUUACAAACAAGAACAUAAUAACAUAUCUAUCUUCUCAAUUUUCUUUGAUAACAAUAUACAAAUUUAGCAAAACAAGAACAUAAUAACACUAUCAAUCUUCUCAUUUCUGAUAACAAUAUACAAAAUUUAGCAAAACAAGAACAAAUAACAUAUCAAUCUUCUAUUUCUUGAUAACAAUAUACAAAUUUAGCAAAACAAGAACACUAAUAACACAAAUCUUCUCAUUCUUGAUAAAUAUACAAAAUUUAGCAAAACAAGAAACACUAAUAACAUUAUCAAUUCUCUCAUUUCUUAAUAACAAUACAUAAUUUAGCAAACAAGAACAUAAUAACACUGCUUCAUCUCUCAUUCUUGAUAACAAUAUACAAAAUAUAGCAAAACCAGAAACACUAAUACACUCAUCAAUCUUCUCAUUUCUUGAUAACAAUAUACAAAAUUUGCAACAGAACAUAAUACACUAUCAAUCUUCUCAUUUCUUGAUUAACAUAUACAAAAUUUAAAAAAAAACAAGAACACUAAUAACACUAUAUCUCUCAUUUCUUGAUAACAAUAAUACAAAAUUUAGCAAAACAAGACACUAAUAACAUUCAAUCUUCUCAUUUCUUGAUAAACAAUAUAAAAAAUUUAGCAAAACAAGAACAUAAUAACUAUCAAUCUUCUCAUUUCUUAAACAAUAUACAAAAUUUAGAAAAACAGAACACUAAUAACAUAUCAUCUUCUCAUUUCUUGAUAACAAUAUACAAAUUUAGCAACAAGAACACUAAUAACACUUCAAUCUUCUCAUUUUUGAUAACAAUAUACAAAAUUUAGCAAAACAAGAACACUAUCAAUCUUCUCAUUUUUGAUAACAAUAUACAAAAUUUAGCAAAACAAGAACACUAAUAACACUAUCAUCUCUCAUUUCUGAUAACAAUAUACAAAAUUCAGAACAAACAAGAAGCUUCAUUCUUGAUAACAACUAUCAUUCCAACAAGACAUAUCAUUCCAUGUCUGAUAAAUGAAAAUUUCUAAGCAAAUCAAGACACAAUAAACAUCCACUACAUUUGAACAAUUUUACGAACAAGAAAUGAUACACUCUCCAAUUCUCAUUCUGAUAACAAUAUACAAAUUUAGAAAACAAGAACUUAUCAAUCCUCUCAUUUCUUGAUAACAAUAUACAUAAUUUAGCAAAACAAGAACACUAAUAACACUAUCAAUCUUCUCAUUUCUUGAUAACAAUAUACAAAAUUUAGAAAAACAAGAACACUAAUAACACUAUCAAUCUUCACAUUUCUUGAUAACAAUAUACAUAAUUUAGCAAAACAAGAACAAUAAUAACACUCUCAGUCCUCUUUUUUCUUGAUAAUAAUAUACAAAAUUUAACAAAAGAAGAACACUAAUAACACUAUCAAUCUUCUGAUUUCUUGAUAACACUAUACAAAAUUUAGCAAAACAAGAACACUAAUAACACUGUCAAUCUUCUCAUUUCUUGAUAACAAUAUACAAAAUUUAGCAAAACAAGAACACUAUUAAUCUUCUCAUUUUUUGAUAACAAUUUACAAAAUUUAGCAAAACAAGAACACUAAUAACACUAUCCAUCCUCUCAUUUCUUGAUAACAAUAUACAAAAUUCAGCAAAACAAGAACCCUAAUAACACUAUCAAUCUUCUCAUUUCUUGAUAACAAAAUUUAGCACAAACAAGAACACUAAUAAACACUAUCAAUCUUUCUUGAUAACAAUAUACAAAAUUCAGCAAAACAAGAACACUAAUAACACUAUCAAUCUUCUCAUUUCUUGAUAACAAUAUACAAAAUUCAGCAAAACAAGAACACUAAUAACACUAUCAAUCCUGUCAUUUCUUGAUAACAAUAUACAAAAUUUAGCAAACCAAGAACAUUAAUAACAUUAUCAAUCUUCUCAUUUCUUGAUAACAAUAUACAAAAUUUAGCAAAAUAAGAACACUAAUAACACUAUCAAUCUUCUUAUUUCUUGAUAACAAUAUACAAAAUUUAGCAAAGCAAGAACACUAAUAACACUAUCAAUCUUCUCAUUUCUUGAUAACAAAAUAGAAAAUUUAGCAAAACAAGAACACUAAUAACAAUAUCAAUCCUCUCAUUUCUUGAUAACAAUAUACAUAAUUUAGCUAAACAAGAACACUAUCAAUCUUCUCAUUUCUUGAUAACAAUAUACAAAAUUUAGCAAAACAAGAACACUAAUAACACUAUCAAUCCUCUCAUUUCUUAAUAACAAUAUACAAAAUUCAGCAAAACAAGAACCCUAAUAACACUAUCAAUCUUCUCAUUUCUUGAUAACAAUAUACAAAAUUCAGCAAAACAAGAACACUAAUAACACUAUCAAUCCUCUCAUUUCUUGAUAACAAUAUAAAAAGUUUAGCAAACAAGAACACAAUAACACUAUCAAUCUUCUCAUUUCUUAAUACAAAUAUAGAAAAUUUAGCAAAACAAGAACACUAAUAACACUAAUCAAUCUCUCUCUUUCUUAGAUAACAAUAUACACAAAUUUUAGCAAAACAAGAACACUAAUAACAUUAUCAAUCUUCUCAUUUCUGAUAACAAUUAGACAAAUUUAGCAAAACAAGAACACUAUAUAACACUAUCAAUCUUUCUCAUUUCUUGAUAACAAUAUACAAAAUUAUAAAAACAGAAACACUAAUAACACUAUCAAUCUUCUCAUUUCUUGAUAACAAUAUAACAAAAUUUAGCAAAACAAGAACACUAAUAACACUAUCAAUCUUCUCAUUUCUUGAUAAAAAUAGCAAAAUUAGCAAAACAAGACACUAUAACAACUAUCAAUCUUCUCAUUUCUUAAUAACAAUAUACAAAUUUAGCAAAAAGAACACUAAUAACACUAUCAAUCUUUCCAUUUCUUGAUAACAAUAUACAAAAUUGCAAAACAAGAACACUAAUAACACUCAAUUCUUCUCAUUUCUUGAUAACAAUAUACAAAAUUUAGCAAAACAAGAACACUAUCAAUCUUCUCAUUUCUUGAUAACAAUAUACAAAAUUUAGCAAACAAGAAACACUAAUAACACUAUCAUCUCUCAUUUCUUGAUAACAAUAUACAAAAUUCAGCAAAACAAGAACCUAAUAACAUAUCAAUCUUCUCAUUUCUUGAUAACAAUAUACAAAAUUCAGCAAAACAAGAACAUAAUAACUAUCAAUCCUCUCAUUCUUGACAACAAUAUACAAAAUUAAGGCAAAACAAGAACAUUAAUAACAUUAUCAAUCUUCUCAUUUCUUGAUAACAAUAUACAAAAUUUAGCGAAACAAGAACACUAAUAACACUAUCAAUCUUCUCUUUUUUCUUAAUAACAAUAUACAAAAUUUAGCAAAACAAGAACACUAAUAACACUAUCAAUCUUCUCAUUUCUUGAUAACAAUAUACAAAAUUUAGCAAAAACAAGAACACUAAUAAACACAUCAAUCUUCUCAUUUCUUGAUAACAAUAUACAAAAUUUAGCAAAGCAAAGAACACUAAUAACACUAUCAAUCUUCUCAUUCUUGAAUAACAAAAUAGAAAAUUUAGGCAAAACAAGAACACUAAUAACAUCAAUCCUUCAUUUCUUGAUAACAAUAUACAAAUUUAGCAAAACAAACACUAAUAACAUAUCAACCUCAUUUCUUGAUAACAAUAUACAAAAUUUGCAAAACAAGAACACUAUAUUAACACUAUCAAUUUCUCAUUUCUUAAUAACAAUAUACAAAAUUUAGCAAAAAAAACAAAACAUAAUAACACUAUCAAUCUCUCAUUUCUUGAUAACAUAUACAAAAUUUGGCAAAACAAGAACACUAAUAACACUAUCAAUGCUUCUUCAUUUCUUGAUAACAAAUAUACAAAUUUAAAAACAAGAACACUAUAACAACUAUCAAUCUUCUCAUUUCUUGAUAACAAUAUACAAAAUUUAGCAAAACAAGAAACUAAUAACACUAUCAAUCUUCUCAUUUCUUGAUAACAAUAUCAAAAUUUAGCAAAACAAGAACACUAUAACACUAUCAAUCUUCUCAUUUCUUAAUAACAAUAUACAAAAUUUAGCAAAACAAGAACACUAAUAACACUAUCAAUCUCUCAUUUCUUGAUAACAAUAUACAAAAUUUAGCAAAACAAGAACACUAAUAACACUUCAAUCUUCUCAUUUCUUGAUAACAAUAUACAAAAUUUAGCAAACAAGAACACUAAAACACUAUCAAUCUUCUCAUUUCUUGAUAACAAUAUAAAUUUAGCAAAACAAGAACACUAAUAACAACAUCUCAUCCUCUAUUUCUGAUAACAAUAUACAAAAUUCAGCAAACAAGAACCCUAAUAACACUAUCAAUCUUCUCAUUUCUUGAUAACAAUAUACAAAAUUCAGAAACAAGAACACUAAUAACACUAUCAAUCUUCUCAUUUCUUGAUAACAAUAUAAAAUUUAGCAAAAACAAGAACAUUAAUAACAUUAUCAUCUUCUCAUUUCUUGAUACAAUAUACAAAAUUUAGCAAAAAAGAACACUAAUAACACUAUCAAUCUUCUCAUUUCUUGAUAACAAUAUACAAAAUUUAGCAAACAAGAAACUAAAACACUAAUAAUCUCUCAUUUCUUGAUAACAAUAUACAAAAAUUAUAGAAAACAAGAACACUAUCAAUCUUCCUCAUUUUUUGAUAACAAUAUCAAAAUUUAGCAAAACAGAACACUAAAACACUAUCUCUUCUCAUUUCUUGAUAACAAUAUACAAUUCGCAAAACAAGAACACUAAUAACACUAUCAAUCUUCUCAUUUCUUGAUAACAAUAUACAAAAUUUAGCAAAACAAGAACACUAAUAACACUAUCAAUCCUCUCAUUUCUUGACAACAAUAUACAAAAUUUAGCAAAACAAGAACAUUAAUAAACUAUCAAUCUUCUCAUUCUUAUAACAAUAUACAAAAUUUAAGCGAAACAAGAACACUAAUAACACUAUCAAUCUUCUCAUUUCUAUAAUAACGAAUAUACAAAAUUUAGCAAAAAAGAAAACACUAAUAACACUAUCAAUCUUCUCAUUUCUUGAUAACAAUAUACAAAAUUACAAAACAGAACAACUAAUAACACAUCAAUUUUCUCAUUUCUUGAUAACAUAUACAAAAUUUAGCCAAAAGCAAGAAACACUAAUAAACUAUCAAUCUUCUCAUUUCUUAAUAACAAUAAUAGAAAAUUUAGCAAAACAAGAAACACUAAAACACUAUCAAUCAUCUCAUUUCUUAAUAAACAAUACANNNNNNNNNNNNNNNNNNNNNGGCAAAAAAAGAAGGGAGAGGAGGGAGGAGUAGAGGGAAUAUAUAUCUGCAACAUACAGCCAGGAGAGUAUUAUAUUUAAUUUUAAUAUAGAGAGAAUUCACACACAUUACAGUAAGUAACUCAAUAUAUAUAAAUUAACAACAUCUCUAUAUGUAUUAUAAUAUACACAUAUAAUCUAUAUAUUAUCUCAAUCUAGUAUCACUAAUUAGAUAUCACUUAGAUCACAUACACCUUAUAACUCACAAAAAGAAUAUUUUAUAUAUAUAGCGCGAGAGAUAUAUAUACCACUCACUAGAAAAUACACAAAUCACAAAUUAUGACACCACUAUAUUCUUUCACAAAUGAGUUGACAUUAUAUAUAUAAAUACUAAAUAUUGUGUAGCAACAAUGAUAUAAUACUCACGCUUAUAAAUAACAUCUAUAGUAAGAAAGAAGAAAUAUUUAUGAAUAAACAAUCAUUGCUAUAUAAUAAUGAGAGAGUGCACAACACAUAAUAUAGGAACAUCAAUAUAGUAACAACAUAAUUCGGAUUAUGUCUCUCUCUAUAUGCUCAUAAUUUAUGCGUAUUAGAUAUAAAAAUAAUACAAAUAGCUUCUCACAUGCAAUAAAUGCAGGAUCACAAAUAUAUAUUAACACUAGUAAUCACAAACUUACUUACUCAUUUUUCUUGAAUAACUAAAUAUAUAACUUUUAAAGCACAUAACCACACGUAUAUUCACCUAAUAAACACUAUCAAUCUCUCAUUUCUUGAUAACAAUAUACAAAAUUUAGCAAAAACAAGAAACAACUAUAAUAACAUUAUCAAUUCGCUCUCAUUUCUUGAAAACAAUAUACAUAAUUUAGCAAAACAAGAACAAUAAAACACUCUCAAUCCUCUCAUUUCUUAAUACAAUAUACAAAAUUUAAGAAAAAGAAGAAACACUAAUAACACUAUCAAUCUCUGAUUUCUUGAUAACAAUAACAAAAUUAGCAAAACAAGAACACUAAUAACACUAUCAAUCUUCUCAUUUUCUUAUAACAAUAUACCAAAAUUUAAGCAAAACAAGAAACACUAAUAACACUAUCAAUCUUCUCAUUUCUUGAUAACAAUAUACAAAAUUUAGCAAAACAAGAACACUAAUAAACACUAUCAAUCUUCUCAAUUCUUGAUAACAAUAUACAAAAUUAAAAAAACAAAAGAACACUAAUAACACUAAUCAAUCUUCUCAUUUCUUGAUAACAAAUAUACAAUUUAAAAAACAAGAACACUAAUAACACUAUCAAUCUCUCAUUUCUUGAUAACAAUACUACAAAUUGCAAAACAAGAACACUAAUAACACUCAAUCUUCUCAUUUCUUAUAACAAUAAAAAAUUUAGCAAACAAGAACACUAAUAACACUAUCAAUCUUCUAUUUCUUGAUAAACAAUAUAAAAAAUUUAGCAAAAUAAAAACACUAAUAACACUAUCAAUCUUCUCAUUUCUUGAUAACAAUAUAAAAAAUUUAGCAAAAACAGAGACACUAAUAACACUAUCAAUCUUCUCAUUUCUUGAUAACAAUAUACAAAAUUUAGCAAAACAAAGAACACUAAUAAAACUAUCAAUCUUCUCAUUUCUUGAAUAACAAAUACAGAAUUUUAGCAAAACAAAGAACACUAAUAACACUAUCAAUCCUCUCAUUUCUUGAUACCAAUAUACAAAUUUAGCAAAACAAGAACACUAAUAAACUAUCAAUCUCUCAAUGUUCUUGAUAAUACAAUAUAUAAAUUUAGCACAAACAAGAACACUAAUAAACACUAUCAAUCUCUCAUUUCUUGAUAACAAUUACAAAUUUAGCAAAACAAGAACGUACUAAUAACACUAUCAAUCCUCAUUUCUUGAUAACAAUAUACAAAUUAGGAAACAAGAACACUAAUAACACUAUCAAUCUUAAUUUCUUGAUAACAAUAUACAAAAUUAGCAAAACAAGAACACUAAUAACACUAUCAUCUUCUCAAUUUCUUGAUAACAAAUAAUACAAAAAUUUAGCAAACAAGAACACUAAUAACACUAUCAAUCUUCUAAUUUCUUGAUAACAAUAUACAAAAUUUAGGAAAAAAGACAUGAUAACAUAUCAAUCUUCUCAUUCUUUUGAUAACAAAAUACAAAUUUAAGCAAAGCAAAGAACACUAAUAAAACUUCAAUUUCUCAUUUCUUGAUAACAAAAUAGAAAAAUUUUAGCAAAACAAGAACACAAAUUACUAUCAUCUUCUCAUUUCUUGAUAACAAUAUAUCAAAAUUAGCAAAACAAGAACAGCUAUAACAUUAAUGCAAUCCUCUCAUUUCUUGAUAACAAUAUACAUAAUUAGCAAAAACCAAGAAACACUAAUCAUCUUCUCAUUUCUUGAUAAUAAUAUACCCAAAAUUUAGCAAAACAGAACCAAUAACACUAUCGAUCCUCUCCCUUUCUUGAUAACAAAUAAAGUACGAAAUUCAGCAAAAAAGAACGCUAAUAACUACUAUCAGAUCUUCUCAUUUCUUGAUAACAAUAUACAAAAUUCAGCAAAACAAGAACACUAAUAACAUUAUCAAUCCUCUCAUUCUUGAUCAACAAAUAUAACAAAAUUUAGCAAAACAAGAACAUUAAUAACAUUAUCAAAUCUUUCCAUUUCUUGAUAACAAUAUAGAAAAUUUAGGCGAAACAAGAACACUAUAACACUAUCAAUCAUCCUUUCAUUUCUAAUAAUAAUAUAAAAUUUAGCAAAACAAGAACAACUAAAUAACACGUCAAAUCUUCACAUUUCUUGAUAAACAAUAUACAAAAUUUAGCAAAACAAGAACACUAAUAACACUAAUCGAUCUUCUCAUUUUCUUGAUAACAAUAUACAAAAUUUAAAGCAAAGCAAGACCACUAAUAACACUAUCCAAGCUUCUCAUUUCUUGAUAACAAAAUAGAAAAUUUAGCAAAACAAGAACACCUGAAUACACUAUCAUCCUUCUCAUCUCUUGAUAACAGUAUAUCAAAACUUUAGCAAAACAAGAACACUAAUAACAUUAUCAAUCCUCUCAUUUUCUUGAUAACAAUAUACAUAAUUUAGCAAAACCAAAACAAUAUACAACACUCUCAAUCCUCUCAUUUCUUAAUAACAAUAUACAAAAUUUAAGAAAAGAAGAACACUAAUGACACUAAUCAAUCUUCUGAUUUCUGAUAAACAAUCUACAAAAUAUAGCAAAACAAAGAACAUAAUAACACUAUGCAAAUCUUCUCAAUUUCUCAUAACAAUUAACAAAAUUUAGCAAAACAAAACACUAAAUAACACUAUCAUCUUCUCAUUUUUUGUACAAUAUAACAAAUUUAGCAAAACAAAGAACACUAAUAACACUAAUCAAUGCUUCUCAUUUCUUGAUACAAUAUACAAAAUUUUAGGCAAAACAAGAAACUAUAACACUAUCAAUCUUUCUCUAUUUCUUGAUAACAAUAUACAAAAUUUUUAAAAAAUAACAAGAACACAAUAACACUAUCAAUUUCUCAUUUCUCCUUGAUAACAAUAUACAAAAUUUAGCAAAACAAAAACACUAAUAACACUAUCAAUCUUCUAAUUUCUUGAUAAGCAAAUAUAAUCAAAAUUUUAGCAAAACAAUAACACUAAUACACUAUCAAUCUUCUCAUUUCUUUCUUGAUAACAAUAUACAAAACUUAAAAAAACAAAGAACACUAAUAAACACUACAUCUUCUCAUUUUUGAUAACAAAUUUACAAAACUUUAAAAAAACAAAAAACUAAUAACACUAUCAAUCUUCUCAUUUCUGAUAACAUAGAUAAAAUUUUGCAAAAACAACGAACACUAAUAACUACUGUCACUCUUCUCAUUUCUGAUAAACAAUAUACAAAAUUUAGCAAAACAAGAACACUAAUAACACUAUCAAUCUUCUGAUUUUCUUGAUAACAAUUUAUACAUAAUUUUGGCCAAAUAAAAACCUAAUAACACUAUAAAUCUCUUCAUUUCUUGAUAACGAUAUAAAAACUUAGCAAAAACAAGGACACUAAUAACACUAUCAAUCUUCACUUUCCUUGAUAUACAAUGAUACAAAAUUUAGCAAAACAGAAACACUAAUACAAAAACUAUCAAUCUUCUCAUUUCUUGAUAACAAUAACAGAAUUUUGCAAAACAAGAACAUUGAUAAACUAUCAAUCCUCUCAUUUCUUGAUAACAAUAUAACAAGAAUUUAGCCAAAAAAAGAACACUAAUAAACUCUAAUCCUCCAAUUUCUUGAUAAUAAUAUCAUAAAAUUUUAGCAAAACAAGAAACCAUAACACUAUCAAUCCUCUCAUUUAUUGAUAACAAUGUAACAGAAUUUAUCAAAGAACAAGAACACUAUAACACUUAUCAAUCCUCUUCAUUUCUGAUAACAAUUAGCAAAUUGCAGUAACAAAACAAGAAUACUAAUAUACUACUCUCAUCUUCUUCAUUUCUGAUAUACUAUAUUAUCAUAAAUUCAGCAAAACAUAGAACACUAUAACACUAUCAUCCUCUCAAUUUCUUGAAUAACAACAUACAAAAUUUAGCAAAACAAGAACAUUAAUAACAUUUAUCAAGUCUUCUCAUUUCCUUGAUAACAAUACUACAAAAUUUAGCAAAAACAAGAACACUAAUAACGAAUUUUCAAUUCUUUUUCAAUUUCCUUGAUUAACAAUAUACAAAAUUUAGCAGAAGCAAGAACAGACUAAUAAACUGAUCAAUCUUCUCAUCUUCUGAUAACAAAAAUAGAAAAUUUAGCAAAACAGAAGAAACACUAAUAACACUAAUCAUUCCUUCUCAUUUUCUUGAUAACAAUAUACAAAAAUUUAGCAAAACAGAACACUAAUAACAAUUAUCAUCCAAUCAUUUUCUUGAUAACAAUAUAUCAAAAUUUAGCAAACAAAAACAACUAAUAACACAAUCAAUCCUCCUCAUUUUCUUGAUUUAACAAUAUACAAAAUUCAGCAAAACAAGAACAGCCUAAUAACACUAUCAAUCUUUCAAUUUCUUAAUAACAAUAUACAAUUCAGCAAAACAAGAACACUAAUAACACUAUAUCCUCGUCAAUUUUCUUGAUAACAAUAUACAAUUUAAGCAAAAACAAGAACAUUAAUAACAUUAUCAAUCUUCUCAUUUCUUGAUAACAAUAUACCAAGUUAAGCAAAACAAGGACACUAAUAACACUAUCAAUCAUCUCAUUUCUUAAUAAUAAUAAUAUCAAAAUUUAGCAAAACAAGACCACUAAUAAACUAUGCAAUCUUCUCAUUUCUUGAUAACAAUAUAACAAAAUUUAAGCAAAACCCAAGAACACUCAUUAACACUAUCAUCUUCUCAUUUCUUGAUAACAACAUAACAAAUUACAAACCCAAGAACACUAAUAACACUAUCAAUCUCACAUUCUUGAUAAGCAAAUAUACAAAAUUUAGCAAACAAGAACAUUAAUAAACUAUCAAUCCUCUCAUUUCUUGAAUAACAAUAUACAAAUAUUCAGCAAAACAAGAACCUAAUAACAACUAUCAAUCUUCUCAUUUCUUGAAUAACAAUAUAAACUAAAAUUCAGCAAGAAGCAAGAACACUAAUAACCACUGUCAAUCCUCUCAAUUUCUGAUAACAAUUCAAAUUAAGCAAAACAAGAAAUAUUAAUAACAUAUCAAUCUUCUCAUUCUUAUAACAAUAUACAAGAAUUUGGCGAAACAAGGAACACCUAAUAACACAGAAUCAAUCAUCGUCAUUUUUAAUAAUAAUAUACAAAAUUUAGCACCACAAGAACACGUAAUAACACUACAAUCUUCUCAUCUUGAAUAACAAUAGUAUAAAUUAGCAAAACAAAGAAUAACUAAUAACGACUAUCACUCUUCGUCUUUCUUGAUAAGAAAAUACAAAAGUUUUAGCAAAACAAGAACAGCUAAUAACACUUUAUCGAAUCUUCACAUUUCUUGAUAACAAUAUACAAAAUUUAGGCAAAACCAAGAACACUAAUAACACUAUCAAUCCUCAUCAUUUCUUGAUAACAAUAUACGAAAUUCAGCAAACAAGAACCUAAUACACUAUCAAUCUUCACAUUUUCUGAUAACCAAUAUAAUAAUUUAUGCAAAACAAGAACACUAAUAACACUAUCCAAUCCUCUCAUUUAUUGAUAACAAUGUACAGAAUUUCAGCAAAGACAAGAACACUAAUAACACUAUCAAUCCUCAUCAUUUCUUCCUUGAUAACAAUAACAAAAUUCAGCAAAACAAGAAACACUAAUAACACUAUCAAUCUUCUCAUUUCUUGAUAACAAUAUACAAAAUUUCAGCAAAACAAGAACACUAUAACACUAUCAAUCCUCUAUUUCUUGAUAAACACAUACAAAAUUUAGCAAACAAAACAUUACUCAAGCAUUAAUCAAUCUUCUCAUUUCUUGAUAACAAACAAAAUUAGCAAAACAAGACACUACUAAUAACCUUUCAAUCUUCUCAUUUCUUGAUAACAAUAUACAAAUUUAGCAAAACAAGACACUAAUAACACUAUCAAUCUUCUCAUUUCUUGAUAACAAAUACAAAAUUUAGCAAAAGAAGAACACUAAAUACACUAUCAAUCUUCUCAUUUCUUGAUACAAUAUACAAAAUUUAGCAAAACAAGAACACUAAUAACAAUUCAUCCUCUCAUUUCUUUGAUAACAAAUACAAAAUUUAGCAAAAACAAGAGAACACUAUAACACUAUCAAUCCUCUCAUUUCUUGAUAACAAUAUACAAAAUUUCAGCAAAACAAGAACCCUAAUACACAUUCAAUCUUCUCAUUCUCUUAUAAACAAUAUACAAAAUUCAGCAAAACAAGAACACUAAUAACACUAUCAAUCCUCUCAUUUCUGAUAACAAUAUACAAAAUUUAGCAAAACAAGAACACUUAAUAACACUAUCAAUCGUUCUCAUUUUGAUAACAAUAUACAAAUUUAGCAACAAAACAAGAACACUAAUAAACAUUAUCAAUCCUCUCAUUCUUUGAUGAACAAUAUACAAAAUUUAGCAAAACAAGAACACUAAUAAACACUAUCAAUCCUCUCAUUUCUUGAAACAAAUAUACAAAAUUCAGCAAAACAAGAACCCUAAUAACACUAUCAAGCUUCUCAUUUCUUGAUAACCAAUAUACAAAAAAUUCAGCAAAACAAGAACACUAAUAACACUAUCAAUCCUCUCAUUUCUUGUAACAAUAUACAAAUUAGCAAAACAAGCAACGAUUAUAACAGUUAUCAAUCUACUCAUUCUUGAUAACAAUAUACAAAAAGUUAGCGAAAACAAGGACACUAAUAACACUAUCAAUAUCUCAUUUCUUUAAUAAUAGAAUAUACAAAAUUAGCCAAACAAGACCCCUAAUAACCACUAUUCAAUCUUCUCAUUCUUGAUAACAAUAUCAAAUUUAGCCGAAAAACAAAGAACACUAAUUACACUAUCAAUCUUUCUCAUUUCUUGAUAAAAACAUACAAAAUUUAGCAAAACAAAGACAUAUAACACUAUUCAUCUUCACAUUCUUAUACAAUAUACCAAUUUAGCAAAACCAAGAAACACUAAAUAACACUAUCAAUCAAACAAGAACACUAAAACACUGAUAAUCUUCUCAUUUCUUAAUAACAAUAUACAAAUUCUAGCAAACAAGACACUAAUAACAUAUCAAUCUUCUCAUUUCUUUAUAAACAAUAUACAAAAUUUAGCAACAAGGAACAUUAAUAACAUAUAAUCUUCUUCAUUUCUGCUAAACAAUAUACAAAAUUUAGCGCAAACAGAACAGCUAAUAACACUUAUCCAAUACUUCUCAUUCUCUAAAUAACCAAUAUAAAAUUUAAACAAACAAGAAUAAUAACACAUAUCAAUCUUCUAUUCUUGAUAACAAUAGAUACAAAUUUGCAAAACAAGAACACAAAUCACUAUCAAUCUCUCAUUCUAUAUGAUAACAAUAUACAUAAAUUUAGCAACAAGAAACAUAUCAACUAUCAUCUCUAUUUCUAUAAACAAUAGAAAAUUUAGCAAAACAAGAACCUAAUAACACUAACAUCCUUCUCAUUUCUGGAUAACAAUAUACAAAUUUAGCAAACAAGAACACUAUCACCAUUAUCAAUCUCUUCAUCUUCUGAUACUUACAUAUUUGCCAAAAGACCAAUGACACAAUAUCUCACAUAAAACGUCAAUUUACAACCGAACACUAAUAACUAUAUCAUCUGUAAAACAAUCUAUAUUACAAAAUGUAACUCCUCUUCUCGAUCAAUUUCAAAUUGAAACGAAAACCUAAUACAUUAUAAUUUCAUUUAUAUCAAGCAAAACAAGAACUUAAAUACAUCUAUCACAGUUCUCUCAUUUUUAUUAACAAUAUACAAAAUUUAGCCAACAAGACACUAUAUAACGCCUCUCUACUAUCAAUAUAAAUCGCAACAAGUAUCUGCAAUUUCUUAUCUAUAACCAUAUACAAUUAGCAAACAAAGAAACAUUAAACAUCUAUCAAUCUUCUCAUUCUUGAUAACGAAUAUACAAAAUUUUAGCGAAAACAAGAAACACUAAUAACACUAUCAAUCUUCUAUUUACUUAGAUAACAAUACACAAAAUUUUAGCAAAACAAGAACACAACAACUAUCAUCUUCUCAUUUUAUAUAACAAUAUACCAAACAUUAGCAAAAAAGAACAUACUAAAACACAUUAUCAUUCCUUCUCAUUUCUUUGAUAACAAUUAUACAAAAUUCAGCCAAAGACAGAGAACCAUAAAACAUAGUCAAUCUUCUCAUUUCUUAAUAACAAAUAGCAAAUUUUAGCAAAACAAGGAACACUAAAUCAAAACACUAAUCAAUUUUCCAAUCUUCAUUUCUUGAUACCAAUAUACAAAAUUUAGCAAAACAAGAACACUAAUAACACUGUCAAUCUUCUCAUUCCUUGAUAACAAUAUACAAAAUUUAGCAAAACAAGAACACUAAUAACACUAUCAAUCCUCUCAUUUCUUAAUAACAAAAUAGAAAAUUUAGCAAAACAAGAACAUUAAUAACACUAUCAAUCUUCUCAUUUCUUGAUAACAAUAUACAAAAUUUAUCAAAACAAGAACACUAAUAACACUAUCAAUCCUCUCAUUUCUUGAUAACAAUAUACAAAAUUCAGCAAAACAAGAACACUAAUAACACUAUCAAUCUUCUCAUUUCUUGAUAACAACAUACAAAAUUUAGCAAAAGAAGAACACUAAUAACACUAUCAAUCUUCAUAUUUCUUGAUAACAAUAUACAUAAUUUAGCAAAACAAGAACACUAAUAACACUAUCAAUCUUCUCAUUUCUUAAUAACAAAAUAGAAAAUUUAGCAAAACAAGAACACUAAUAACACUAUCAAUCUUCUCAUUUCUUGAUAACAAUAUAA